rnacentral:rRNA from 1 species
AUUGAACGCUGACGGCAGGCCUAACACAUGCAAGUCGGACGGUAGCACAGAGGAGCUUGCUCCUCGGGUGACGAGUGGCGGACGGGUGAGUAAUGUCUGGGGAUCUGCCCGAUAGAGGGGGAUAACCACUGGAAACGGUGGCUAAUACCGCAUAACGUCGCAAGACCAAAGAGGGGGACCUUCGGGCCUCUCACUAUCGGAUGAACCCAGAUGGGAUUAGCUAGUAGGCGGGGUAACGGCCCACCUAGGCGACGAUCCCUAGCUGGUCUGAGAGGAUGACCAGCCACACUGGAACUGAGACACGGUCCAGACUCCUACGGGAGGCAGCAGUGGGGAAUAUUGCACAAUGGGCGCAAGCCUGAUGCAGCCAUGCCGCGUGUAUGAAGAAGGCCUUCGGGUUGUAAAGUACUUUCAGCGGGGAGGAAGGCGAUAAGGUUAAUAACCUUGUCGAUUGACGUUACCCGCAGAAGAAGCACCGGCUAACUCCGUGCCAGCCGCCGCGGUAA